rnacentral:rRNA from 1 species
GACGUAGGGCGCGAGCGUUGUCCGGAUUUAUUGGGCGUAAAGCGCACGCAGGCGGUCUUUUAAGUUUGGAGUGACAGUUGGUGGCUUAACUGCCAAAGUGCUUCGAAAAACUGAAAAGACUUGAGGGCUUCAGAGGGACACGGAAUUCCGGGUGGAGUGGUGAAAUGCGUAGAGAUCCGGAGGAACACCAAAGGCGAAGGCAGCUUACUAUGGUCUUAUUGACGCUGAGGCACGAAAGCGUGGGGAUCAAACAGG